rnacentral:rRNA from 1 species
GACGAACGCUGGCGGGGUGCCUAAUACAUGCAAGUAGAACGCUGAAGGAGGAGCUUGCUUCUCUGGAUGAGUUGCGAACGGGUGAGUAACGCGUAGGUAACCUGCCUGGUAGCGGGGGAUAACUAUUGGAAGCGAUAGCUAAUACCGCAUAAGAGUAGAUGUUGCAUGACAUUUGCUUAAAAGGUGCAAUUGCAUCACUACCAGAUGGACCUGCGUUGUAUUAGCUAGUUGGUGAGGUAACGGCUCACCAAGGCAACGAUACAUAGCCGACCUGAGAGGGUGAUCGGCCACACUGGGACUGAGACACGGCCCAGACUCCUACGGGAGGCAGCAGUAGGGAAUCUUCGGCAAUGGACGGAAGUCUGACCGAGCAACGCCGCGUGAGUGAAGAAGGUUUUCGGAUCGUAAAGCUCUGUUGUAAGAGAAGAACGAGUGUGAGAGUGGAAAGUUCACACUGUGACGGUAUCUUACCAGAAAGGGACGGCUAACUACGUG